UGUUGUCAUUCACAAAAUUUAAAUGUAUAACUCUAAAAUGCAGGUAUAUCCAGGUAAAAAUCUGUGUGCAGGUGGUAAAAACACUUUUAUGGGUGAUCAAAAGCCUAAAAAUAUCAACAUUUACGCUGACAAAAAGUUGGUUCACAUGUCAGAUAUUGUAGGAGGACAUUAUGUAAAUAAAAAUAUCAGUAACACCACACAAUUUUAACAUGUACUUUUAACAGGACAAAUGCUCAAUGUACAAAAAUAUAAACAAAUACAUUUGUUUGUACUUGGACAUAGAACCCUUCAUGUAUAAAAUAAUACAAUGUACGACUAAUUGUGUUCUAAUUC
rnacentral:lncRNA from 1 species